AAUUAUGCAUGUGCAUGUAUGUGUUUAUAAAUACACACACACACACACACACCUCCGGGGCUCCACCUGUCCCGCGUGGUGGUGUCCAGAGUCCCAGAAAGGAUUCGUUAUGCCAGCUAUGGCACGCGCGAGCGACGCGGCACCGGAUCCGCGUGCUAUUUUCACCGCGCAUUAAAGCGGCAGCGGCAGCAGCAUGGGGAGCCACGAGCUCCAGCCGUGCACAGUGGGCACGAGCAGCUCUCCCUCUCUCGUCGUGAUGAAGUCUACCGAGAACGAGCACGCGGUUUUUCGCGCGCGCGAGCCACCCUCGGACACCUCGGACCCGGACAGCGGCAGCGAGAGCUCUUCGGAGAAGUGGACGGAGACGGAGGGCGCGAGCGGGCGCGCGCGCGCUCUCUCCGUCUCCGUCACCGAGCGCAGCAGCAGGUUCAGGCUGGUCGGUGUGAGCAAACAGCGGCAGGCGGCGAACGCGCGCGAGCGGGACCGCACUCACAGCGUCAACACGGCGUUCAGCGCCCUGCGCACGCUCAUCCCCACCGAGCCCGCCGACCGCAAGCUGUCCAAGAUCGAGACGCUGCGCCUGGCCUCCAGUUACAUCGCGCACCUCGCCAACGUCCUGCUGCUCGCCGAGAGCGGAGGAGACGGACCGCCGUGCACGCGACACCGAGAGGCCCUCGGGGGCGCGCUUAGACCCAUUUGCACCUUUUGCCUCGGAAAUCAGAGGAGAAUGGAUGGCAGGAGGAGGAUUGUGUGGCUCCGAGGAUGGACUAACCAGGUGCUUGGAUUUCAGGAGCUUGUGGACUUGAUGUGCUGGAACUGGACUCUAGCUAGUUGCUGCGUUAUGGACUAACUGGAGUUUUGGGGAUUGACAUCCAGCUUCACGUGUCUUCCAGUAACCUAAUCCAGAACUUACUAGAAGAAGCGCAUGAACUAACUUCUCUCUGCAUUGCUUAUGGACAGUAUGUUCCUUUUAUCUUGGCAACAUUUCAGAGAUGUUAUGGCUUACGUGAGGAUGAGAUUAUGUGCUCAGGCAGCUGAGUGGGAGAAAGUCACCAGACAUCCAGUGUGUAAUGUCGCUAACAUAACCUCCUAACCCAGUGAUCUGGACCUAGAUAUUCAUAACAGAGUGUCAGCACAGCGGUGAACAUCAACGCCAAGCUUCAGAAUGACGUGUCCUUAAUAACGGGUACAAGGAAAAACAACAACGGACACGAGACUGAGCCUUGAGGGAUGCCGCAGUUCUGGUGCUUCAGGGCAGGUGUUCCCGGUUUACACUAAACAUAGUGGUGUCACUCUGUCAUAUGCGAGCCGGUGAGAAUCCAGCUGUGUGAGAAUCCAGGUGUGUGAGAAUCCUCUGCCUGCUCGAGCAGCUUCACGUUUACAUGUAAAGACUUUCUCUUCACCUCAUAUGGACAGAACUAAAAGCCUUUUUGUAUAUUUUCUUUCUAAAACUCUGAAAACGAGGACGAAGGAGGAAGAAAAUCACAUGAUGAGAUGCACUUUCCCCCCCCCUGCGUUUACAAACGUGUGUGUGUGUGUGUUUGCCCUUGUGUUUCUUGGUGAACGUAACUGGAGACGUGUGUGUAAAAGCAGCACCUGGCAGGAGGUUAUUUCAGAAGCCUGUACAAGCCUCUCCUUAAAAAACACCACCGUGUGUGUGUGUGUGUGUGUGUGUGUGGAUCCUUCAUAUGUCACAGGACAGUAACCCAAACCCGUGUGUGCUGCAGCGGUUGCUGUCAGUAGGCUAUGAUGAAUCAGGUUGCCAGAUUGGAUGGUUUUACACCAAUCUGUGAAAAAAUGCAGAAUGUUAUACAGAAAUCAGUAAGAAAGCAACAGGUCAAAGGUUAAUUGCAGUGCAUUGUUCCAUUUUUACACUUUUAAGUUAUGUAAUAGCAGCCAACAUGAUGCAGUCUGGAGCGGAAACAAAUCAGAAAAGUCCUGAAAAUCCCGCUCUUCCGUUACGGCAAUGGGAAGCCUUGCUUGGACUUCCUCCUGGUUUAGCAGGAAGACAUCAUGGCAUCAUCCAGGCUUUUGUUGCCCCCAUCCCAACUUUUUUGAGAUGUGUCACGGCCAGCAGAUUCAAAAUUACCUUGUUUUUUUUCUAAUAUAAAACAUAUUCACUCAGUUUAAACAUUUGAUAUGUUUAUGUUCUGUUGUGAAGAACAUACGGGUUUACGAGAUUUUGAAAAUCAGUGCAUUAUGUUUGACAUUUUACACAGCGUCCCAACUUUUUUUUUUUUUUGGAAUGGGGGGUUGUAUUUAUUUUAUUAAUCUAUUACAAAUUUAAUGACACCCUUAAAGCCAUGCUGUUAUCAGGAUUUUUUUCACUUUCACCUCAUUUUUACCUUGUUUACCCUAAAUGUGUUUUAGUUUUUAUCCCUACAUGAUAGAAAUGAAUAAACAUUUCUGAAUUUGAAUGAAUUCUAAACCCUACAUGUUCACUUUCAUGCAUUGCAUAGUGUGUUCGCUUUACCAUGUAACCUGUAAUCACCUCAACCCCACCUUUCUUUUUUUUUUGGCAGAUAAGUGUAAACCCAGAUCGUUACUAUAAUGACCCGUUUGCACAAUGUGUAUAGAAGUGUGUGUGGUUUUGGCCUACCUCUAACAAGCUCAGCAGGGAGAGUAUUUAAACAGACAUACUUGAACUUGUCCUUUGCACAUGAGCAUCAGAAAGCUGCUACUAAAACGAUUGUGUAACUUUUUUUGUACAAUAAAAGAACUUUGUCUGUACUCUGUUUGAUCGGUUGAAAAUAGCAAACAAUCGGAAAUAAAGAUCAGAUGACCGGU